AUGACACUUCUCACCUUUUCUCGAUAACUAUACAGAGAUCAAUCUCCCUGGAAAUGCGAAGAUGGGCCUUAUAGUAAAGAUAACCACGCUCUUAAAAUCAUUGAGAACUUCUCCACCUUGUGUUUUCUCAUCUCCUACAAAACAAGUUGGUAGAAAAACUCCAGGGGUCAGUUUCAGGCAGGUCACAACCAUGCCUGGCAAGCCGGAGAGUGAGCAAAAGAAUAAGUCCAAUGAUGAUAACCCAAAUUAUAAAAAUGGGGACCCGAUGUCCCGUUCAUUUGGAGAAGGGUAUGCACGAGGUCUGAUGAGGAAGGAUUUGGUGGGAUUUAUGGCGGAAAUAAAUCCAUCACAGAGGUUGAAACUGACGUGAGGGAGUCACCUGGGUACAUAGUCUCUUUUAAUUUGUUGCUUCUCUCAAGAGACUUGGCUGCAAAUUCUCUUUCUUAUGUAUGGACUUUAGUUCUCUAAUAAGCUUUGCUUAAAUUAGCUUUGACUUGCUAAUUACGUGGGUAUGCAUGAAGAUUACGACGAGACUCAAGUGAAGUGGAGGAGAAGGAGAAAGCACGAUUCCAAACCAAAGCAGAGUCUUAAAUGGUCAGGGAAACUUGUUUAUCCAUGCCGAAGAGCUGGAUU